GCGCAAAGAAAAAGCCGGACGGGCAGGGGAGACCGUCCGGCUUGUAGAAG
rnacentral:sRNA from 1 species